rnacentral:rRNA from 1 species
CGCUGGCGGCAUGCUUUACACAUGCAAGUCGAACGGCAGCGCGGGGGCAACCCUGGCGGCGAGUGGCGAACGGGUGAGUAAUAUAUCGGAACGUACCCAGAAGUGGGGGAUAACGUAGCGAAAGUUACGCUAAUACCGCAUACAAUCUACGGAUGAAAGUGGGGGACCUUCGGGCCUCAUGCUUGUGGAGCGGCCGAUAUCUGAUUAGCUAGUUGGUAGGGUAAAGGCCUACCAAGGCGACGAUCAGUAGCUGGUCUGAGAGGACGACCAGCCACACUGGAACUGAGACACGGUCCAGACUCCUACGGGAGGCAGCAGUGGGGAAUUUUGGACAAUGGGCGCAAGCCUGAUCCAGCAAUGCCGCGUGAGUGAAGAAGGCCUUCGGGUUGUAAAGCUCUUUUGUCAGGGAAGAAACGGCUGCAGCUAAUAUCUGUGGCUAAUGACGGUACCUGAAGAAUAAGCACCGGCU